GUCCAAGAAAGAUUAUAAAAGUAUUAAAAACUAUUUGUGUUGUAUUCAAAGUCUUCUGAAGUCAUACAAUAAGUUUGUGAAAAGUUUCAACAUUGAGGUAUUAAUAACUGAAAAUAAUUCCACUCCAUAAACACAGUCAUCAUAAAAUACAGCUGAAUUUGAGUUUGAGAUAAAAGACAUCAAAACUGACGUAAUAAAUGUCCCUGUCCACAGCGUUUGUCUGCUGAUGCAAAGGUAUCUUAAUGAAACCAGUGAAAUACCCUGCACAUGGAAAAACUGCAUUAAAUGGGCAAACUAAAAAUUGACGCCAAGGGCUCCUGACCAAGAGUCAAGGAUUGAGAAAGUGUAAAAGACUGUCCCCAAUGAGACUGUGAAUUGUGACGCCUGUUCAAUAUUUCAUAUUCUGUCUAUCUAUGAAACAACAAUGUUGAUAAUAACACUAAAACAGCCAUUCUUGCCAUCAGAAAUAGUUAAACUUAAGUAAAAACAUAAGAUAAAGAGUGACUCGUCAGGUCGAGAUGCAAUGCAUAAGAGAAUGGCCAGCAUGCUGAUGACUGGUCAAACAGAAGCUGAUCAUACAGAUGUUAAUCAUACAGAUGACCGGCCAUACAGACCGCAUCGACACGGAUAGCUGUCGUACAGACCAAUCGCUCUCGAGCUGGAGGAAGUGCUGCUUUAUAAUCUCAGAACAUUCACUCACUAUUAAAAUGAUUCUGGCUGCUAGAAGGGAGAACAUAUCCUACAACACGAGUAAGUUCUACAUUUUCUAAUCACUUAUUCUACAAAUGUUGCACCUAUGUUUAAACAUGUUUAACAAAACUGUCUUUCCUUUUUUCUUUUAAGAAAAGUCAAGUCAACAGUUCACAUUGUUCACUCUACACAAGAAUUUCACUUCAUCAGAAAGUUCAGUCCUCAAAAAAAGUUUCAGGGACCAGCUUUAACGUUUAAACCUGUGAGUUUUGGCUGUCCAUGUUAAAGACUGGAAAUCUGCAUGCAGAAUCUGGAUUGUUGGGACAGCUACAUUCGACGUUGGUGAAAAGCGAGCAAGGGAAACCAUGGGCACCAAUCUCAGUGUGUCCUCCCAGGUCCAGUGUUUGGGGUGACCUCCUUCCUUUCUUCCAACAGUGUCUUAAAGAAAGAACUGAACAAAUGAAGUUUAUGCUUUCUUCAAUCGACCCGAGGCACCGCUGGAGGAAAGGUGGACAGAGUCAGGAAGUUUGUGAACAAUGUGAUGGCCAAGUUUGUUCUCUGUGUUAAUGGAGCAUUGUCCAUCAUCCACACAUAGUGUUUGACAAACCUGAGCUAUAUUUAAAUGAUGAGGUUCAUUUAAGCCCUAAGGGAAAUGAUAUAUAUAUAUUUUUUACUGAUAUUAUCCAGUGUUUGAGAGACCACAGACCAUAAACCUGUCGCUGGAUUGGUGCAUGUUACGGGAAAGAAGGUCUCCUGUAUUAAUUUUAAGUACCUGUAAAAGUACCCAGCAGUGUGUUCAACAAAUGCCUGACUUAAUAAAAGUAUUCCCCGGACUUACUGCUAUGAUCUUAUUUUAUUUAUCUAGCAUUUAAAAAUAAAAUAAUAUACAAUGCCUAAAAUAUAAACAGCUUCUUUGCAAAAAUGUUGAGUUUCAACCUAAAUUUAAUAAUAAUAAAUUAAUAUCUGGUAUAAUUAAAUACUAUUUGUAUCAUUUCAUUUAUAAAAUACACUUAAAUAGACCUGCUUUCUUUUCUGGGCUUUGCUUGUAUGUCCAAAUACCUGUUUGCUGUGAGAGGCCAGGUGAUAAUGUGGAGACAUUAGUGUUAUUAGCAUAUGAAGAGAGGAGACCAUCAGUUUACCAGACACUGCUGGGGGAACUGGGGGUGUGGGGAUUCUUUAAAACAAGUCACUUUGAUUCAGAUUGAUCUGAUUUAAGAUUAUGUAGCUUGAAAAAUAAUCAGAUUUAAUUUUACUUUUUUAUAAUGCACUAGCCAGGAAAGACCAUCAUACACAUUGUAGAUACUGAUAUAUAUAUAUGUAUGAUUCAAUGUUUAGGUCUCCAUUUUGUUCACUAUUGAACGGUCAUUUCUACACAGACUAAACUGAACAUGCUAAACUUACACAGCAACAGGUCUGAACCUGAACUGUACUACUAACGUAAAAAGAUUAAGAACACCGCAUUUAAAGUCUUUUAAAUCAUUGAUGCAACUUAUAAAAAUUACAUUUUCUGAAUGAGGAAUUGUUUUAUUUUUUUGUGUGGCUUAACGUCGGGUUUUGAGUAGACUUUUCUAUUUAAAUUAUUAAUUUUAAGUUUACUCCGUGACGUCACAUUGUUCUAAUCGACGUUCAGAAGAAUCCAUUCAACACGGCGGAUAAUCACAAGCGACUGGAGCGAACUUAUGGAACAACUUGUAAGUACAUCAAAACAAUUGUGAAAAUGUCUUAUUGAAUAUCACAGUAAAGGGAUGUUUUUAUUUUUGGGAAAUGCUGUUUUUACACAGCGCCCAAGUGAUUUUGAAUGCACAUUGAUUUGGAUUCUAUUUCAGCAUCACUGCUUACAGUAUGAUGUUAACGUCAAAGAAGGACACUAAUCUUAAUGUUAGCUGGCAUUUCGUCACUAAACGAUUUGAAUGUCACUGAUGUUAACUGUGAUGUUCAGGACUGUGUUUCUCAAAAGCAUAAUGAGCAAGUCGAUUGUUGAGACCAUUUGGUGUCAAAUGUUUCUACGCUCAUCCUAGCCAUACAGUGCUCUUUUGGGGAAAUGCCCUGAUAAACGUGUGUUUGUUUGUUUUUUGGUCUGUUUUUAAACAACUAGCUUCUAAGAGUACUAAUCCAAAAUUAGGUUUAAGCUUACACACAGACAUGAAUAUUGUAAUAUAUUAAAAUUACAAAAGAAAUGUACAAACUUGUAGUAAACCUUUACAAAUCUUUCUUAAACUGCAGGCUGAGCUGGAUGCUGAAUAGAACAGAGUGAGCCUCAACACUUCAGGUACUGUAACUUCAAGUUGUGUGAAGUGUCCGAACAUAACAGGACACAGAUUUGGCUUUCUCUUUUCCAAUGUCGGUUAAACACUUCACGUUUUUGUGGUUUUCUAGGUUUCACCAUAUCAGAGACCUGCAGGAUUUC